rnacentral:ncRNA from 1 species
CAGCACUCUGGAGAGACUCGCUGCUUUAGUGAUUGACAUAAGCGAGCGCCGAAGGUGCACCUGGCCAUAAUGGCCGGACAACUCUCAGGCAAAAGGACAGAGGGGC